AGUGAACGCUGGCGGUAGGCCUAACACAUGCAAGUCGAACGGCAGCACAGUAAGAGCUUGCUCUUACGGGUGGCGAGUGGCGGACGGGUGAGGAAUACAUCGGAAUCUACUUUUUCGUGGGGGAUAACGUAGGGAAACUUACGCUAAUACCGCAUACGACCUACGGGUGAAAGCAGGGGAUCUUCGGACCUUGCGCGAUUGAAUGAGCCGAUGUCGGAUUAGCUAGUUGGCGGGGUAAAGGCCCACCAAGGCGACGAUCCGUAGCUGGUCUGAGAGGAUGAUCAGCCACACUGGAACUGAGACACGGUCCAGACUCCUACGGGAGGCAGCAGUGGGGAAUAUUGGACAAAGGGCGCAAGCCUGAUCCAGCCAUACCGCGUGGGUGAAGAAGGCCUUCGGGUUGUAAAGCCCUUUUGUUGGAAAAGAAAAGCAGCAGGUUAAUACCCCGCUGUUCUGACGGUACCCAAAGAAUAAGCACCGGCUAACUUCGUG
rnacentral:rRNA from 1 species